UACGUAGGGGGCAAGCGUUGUUCGGAAUUACUGGGCGUAAAGCGCGUGUAGGCGGUCCGAUAAGUCGGAAGUGAAAGCCCUCGGCUCAACCGGGGAAUUGCUUACGAUACUGUCGGACUUGAGUGUGGGAGGGGAGAGCAGAAUUCCCGGUGUAGCGGUGAAAUGCGUAGAUAUCGGGAGGAAUACCGGUGGCGAAGGCGGCUCUCUGGACCAUUACUGACGCUGAGACGCGAAAGCGUGGGGAUCAAACAGG
rnacentral:rRNA from 1 species